GUGCUCACUUCGGCAGCACAUAUACUGAAAUUGGAAUGAUACAGAGAAGAUUAGCAUGGCCCCUACACAAGGAUGACACAACUUUGUGAAGUAUUCCAUAUUUUU
rnacentral:snRNA from 1 species